rnacentral:lncRNA from 1 species
UACUUUGCAUUACGGUUUAUUGAGGUUCAUUAGAAGCUUUGAAGGAUAUGGAAAAUCCUUGCAGAGGUUUUUAGGCCAACUUCAUUUUAAUAUCAUUUAUAAUUUUAUUUUUAAUACAUGCAUUUAUCGAAAAAUUUUCUAAUAUGAAUUUUUUUAGGUGAGAACGAUUGGUUGGAGGGCGACUUUAAGUAUCCAUGGCACAUGAGUAUUGCUGAUGAGGAGAUUAUCGAUGACAGUCUUAAUCUCCUUGUUAUCCCUCAAUAUGGUAGAAAUACCAACCACACUAAUUAAGUACAGUCUUACUUUUUUGUAUUAUAUUUAAUUAAAUAAAAGGAUGGAUAUGGGUGUCACUUGUCCAUCGUGUGAGUGUCAUCUUAUAAAAUCUCUUAAGAUCUAAAAGAGAUUUUACUUGUUGACUAUGUUGUAUUGUGUUCUCUUGAAAAAAAGUAAAUUAAUAAAAGUUAUUUUGUGUGUCA